rnacentral:misc_RNA from 1 species
CUGAAUGAUCAUCCUUGAUCUUCUCACCCUCAAACAACCGUGGAACCCAAGACGUGCUUCGGCGCCGUCGGCGCCGCCUUUAUGCUCAGACCAUGUCUUUUCUGUCUGAAGAAAAACCGAAAAUGUCA